rnacentral:tRNA from 1 species
GAACUUGUAACUCAAUGGUAGAGUGUUCGUCUGAUAAGCGAAAAAUGGUGGUUCGAUUCCAUCCAAGUUCA